rnacentral:rRNA from 1 species
UACGUAGGGUGCAAGCGUUUAUCCGGAAUUAUUGGGCGUAAAGAGCUCGUAGGCGGUUUGUUGCGUCGGCUGUGAAAACCUGAGGCUCAACCUCAGGCCUGCAGUCGAUACGAGCAGACUAGAGUGUUGCAGGGGAGACUGGAAUUCCUGGUGUAGCGGUGAAAUGCGUAGAUAUCAAGAGGAACACCUGAGGUGAAGACGGGUUGCUGGGCCA